UGGGGAAUCUUGCGCAAUGGACGAAAGUCUGACGCAGCGACGCCGCGUGGGUGAUGAAGGCCUUCGGGUUGUAAAGCCCUGUGGGGUGAGACGAAUAAGUGCGGGCCAAUACCCCGCAUGAUGACGGUAUCACCUUAGCAAGCACCGGCUAACUCUGUGCCAGCAGCCGCGGUAAGACAGAGGGUGCAAACGUUGUUCGGAAUUACUGGGCGUAAAGCGUGUGUAGGCGGUCAUGUAAGUCAGGUGUGAAAGCCCCAGGCUUAACCUGGGAAGUGCACUUGAUACUGCGUGACUUGAGUAUCGGAGAGGUUGGUGGAAUUCUCGGUGUAGAGGUGAAAUUCGUAGAUAUCGAGAGGAACACCGGUGGCGAAGGCGGCCAACUGGACGAAUACUGACGCUGAGACACGAAAGCGUGGGGAGCAAACAGGAUUAGAUACCCCCGUAGUCC
rnacentral:rRNA from 1 species